AGUGAAUAGAUACCCAGGUAGUCCUGGCCUUAAACGAUGGAUGCUUGGUGUCUGGAGUUUUAUAGUCUCCGGGUGCCGUAGCUAACGCGUUAAGCAUCCCGCCUGGGGAGUACGGUCGCAAGACUGAAACUCAAAGGAAUUGACGGGGACCCGCACAAGCGGUGGAGCAUGUGGUUCAAUUCGACGCAACGCGAAGAACCUUACCUGGGCUAGAAUGCCUGUGACACCCGUAGAGAUACGGUCUCCUAGGGAAACCUAGGCACAGUGCAAGGUGCUGCAUGGCUGUCGUCAGCCCGUGUCGUGAGAUGUUGGGUUAAGUCCCGCAACGAGCGCAACCCUUAUCGAUAGUUGCUAGCGGUUCGGCCGAGCACUCUAUUGAGACUGCCGUUGACAAAACGGAGGAAGGCGGGGAUGACGUCAAGUCCUCAUGGCCUUUAUGUCCAGGGCUACACACGUGCUACAAUGGCAAGUACAAAGCGCUGCAAACUCGCGAGAGGGAGCCAAUCGCAAAAACGCUUGUCUCA
rnacentral:rRNA from 1 species